CCUACGGGUGGCUGCAGUGGGGAAUAUUGCACAAUGGGGGAAACCCUGAUGCAGCGACGCCGCGUGAGUGAUGAAGUCUUUCGGUAUGUAAAGCUCUAUCAGCAGGGAAGAUAAUGACGGUACCUGACUAAGAAGCUCCGGCUAAAUACGUGCCAGCAGCCGCGGUAAUACGUAUGGAGCGAGCGUUAUCCGGAUUUACUGGGUGUAAAGGGAGCGCAGACGGCAGGGCAAGUCUGAUGUGAAAGUCCGGGGCUCAACCCCGGGCGUGCAUUGGAAACGGGCCGGCUAGAGUGCAGGAGAGGUGAGUGGAAUUCCUGGUGUAGCGGUGAAAUGCGCAGAUAUUAGGAGGAACACCAGUGGCGAAGGCGGGUUACUGGACUGUAACUGACGUUGAGGCUCGAAAGCGUGGGGAGCAAACAGGAUUAGAUACCCUGGUAGUC
rnacentral:rRNA from 1 species